rnacentral:rRNA from 1 species
UGAGUAACCUGCCCCAGACUCUGGAAUAACCCCGGGGAAACCGGAGCUAAUACCGGAUACGAAACGAAGCCGCAUGGCUAUCGUUUGGAAAGUUUUUCGGUCUGGGAUGGACUCGCGGCCUAUCAGCUUGUUGGUGAGGUAAAGGCUCACCAAGGCGACGACGGGUAGCCGGCCUGAGAGGGUGACCGGCCACACUGGGACUGAGACACGGCCCAGACUCCGUACGGGAGGCAG